UCAAGCUAAGAAGGGCGCAAGGGGGAUGCCUUGGCAUUGGUAGCCGAUGAAGGACGUAGCGAUCUACGAUAAGCCACGGGAAGUCGAAAGCAGGCAAUGAUCCGUGGAUUUCCGAAUGGGGAAACCCGGCAGAGCAAUACUCUGUCAACUCCUUGUGAAUAAAAUAGCAUUGAGUAGGGAACCUCCUGAACUGAAACAUCUAAGUAGGGAGAGGAAAAGAAAUCAACCGAGAUUCCGCUAGUAGUGGCGAGCGAACGCGGAAGAGGCCAAACCAAGAGUAGUAAUACUUUUGGGGUUCGGACUGAGUACGGUAUUGACAAGAGUUAGUAGAAUGGAAUGGGAAGUUCAACCAUAGAGUGUGAGAGUCACGUAUACGAAAACUUAAGUCAGCCAUCAGUAUCCAGAGUACCGCCGGACACGUGAAACCCGGUGGGAAUACGGGGGGACCACCCUCCAAGCCUAAAUACUCACCAAUGACCGAUAGUGUAUAGUACUGUGAAGGAAAGGUGAAAAGAACCCCUGGCGGGGAGUGAAAAAGAACCUGAAACCUUGUGCCUACAAGCACAUAGAGCACGUCAACGUGUGAUAUGGUACCUUUUGUAGAAUGGUCCGGCGAGUGAAUGUCACUAGCGAGGUUAAGAACUUAAGGUUUGCAGCCGAAGCGAAAGCGAGUCUUAAUAGGGCGAGUUUAGUUAGUGGUAUUCGACCCGAAACCGAGUGACCUAGCCAUGAGCAGGCUGAAGUGGAGGUAAAACUCCAUGGAGGGCCGAACCCACUCCCGUUGAAAUGGUAGGGGAUGACUUGUGGCUAGCGGAGAAAUUCCAAUCGAACUCGGAGAUAGCUGGUUCUCUCCGAAAUAGCUUUAGGGCUAGCCUCAAUUAACAUUACCGCAGGUAAAGCACUGAAUGGGCUAGGGGGCGAAAGCUUACUGAACCCUAUCAAACUCAGAAUGGCGGAUAAUGAAUAAUUGGGAGUCACACUACGUGAGAUAAGUUUCGUGGUGGAAAGGGAAACAGCCCAGACCCACAGCUAAGGUCCCAAAGUACAGUUAAGUGGAAAAGGAUGUGAAGUUGCGCAGACAACCAGGAUGUUGGCUCAGAAGCAGCCACUCAUUCAAAGAGUGCGUAAUAGCUCACUGGUCGAGUGAUUUUGCGCCGAAAAUUUAACGGGGCUAAACUGUACACCGAAGCUUGGGAAUAUACCAUAUGGUAUGUUGGUAGGAGAGCGUCGUAUGCGGGGUGAAGUCGUAGCGAAAGCGGCGGUGGACUGCAUAGGAGUGAGAAUGCCGGAAUGAGUAGCGAGAAUUAUGUGAGAAUCAUAAUGGCCGAAAGACUAAGGUUUUAGAAGGAAGGUUCGUCCGCUUCUAGUUAGCCGGGAGCUAAGGCGAGGCCGAAAGGCGUAGUCGAUGCACAUACGGUUGAGAUUCCGUAGCCACCUUAAAUUUAAACUAAGGGACACAUUGAAAGGGAAUAACCCAGGCGUUGGUUGACCUGGGCGUAAGGGAACGAAAAUAAGUAGUGAAGUAUUCUUGGACAGUGGCGAGAAAAGCUUAGUGUAUAUUAUUAGGGUGCCCGUACUGCAAACCGACACAGGUAGUCAGGAAGAGAAUUCUAAGGCCAUCGGGAGAAGCGUUGUUAAGGAACUCGGCAAAUUGACCCCGUAACUUCGGAAUAAGGGGUGCUCACGAGAGUGAGCCGCAGUGAAUAGGUCCAGGCAACUGUUUAUCAAAAACACAGCUCUCUGCUAAAUCGUAAGAUGACGUAUAGGGGGUGACACCUGCCCGGUGCUGGAAGGUUAAGAGGAGGAGUGCAAGCUCCGAAUUGAAGCCCCAGUAAACGGCGGCCGUAACUAUAACGGUCCUAAGGUAGCGAAAUUCCUUGUCGGGUAAGUUCCGACCCGCACGAAUGGCGUAACGACUUGUGAGCUGUCUCAACAGGAGGCCCGGUGAAAUUGAAGUAUGUGUGAAGAUGCACAUUACCCGCGACUGGACGGAAAGACCCCGUAGAGCUUUACUGUAACCUGACAUUGGAUCUUGAUAACGGAUGCACAGGAUAGGUGGGACGCUGGGAGACGAGGACUUUGGUUUUCGUGGAGCGGCCGUUGGGAUACCACUCUUCUGUUAUUGAGAUUCUAACCUCAAGCCGUGAGCCGGAUGAGAGACAGUGUCAGGCGGACAGUUUGACUGGGGCGGUCGCCUCCGAAAGAGUAACGGAGGCGUUCAAAGGUUCUCUCAGGUUGGAUGGAAAUCAACCGCAGAGUGCAAUGGCAUAAGAGAGCUUGACUGCAAGACUGACGGGUCGAGCAGGUGCGAAAGCAGGACAUAGUGAUCCGGCGAUUCCGAAUGGAAGGGUCGUCGCUCAACGGAUAAAAGCUACCCUGGGGAUAACAGGCUGAUCCUACCCGAGAGUCCAUAUCGACGGUAGGGUUUGGCACCUCGAUGUCGGCUCAUCGCAUCCUGGGGCUGGAGAAGGUCCCAAGGGUUGGGCUGUUCGCCCAUUAAAGCGGUACGUGAGCUGGGUUCAGAACGUCGUGAGACAGUUCGGUCCCUAUCCACUGUAGGCGUAAGAAUAUUGAGAAGAUCUGUCCUUAGUACGAGAGGACCGGGAUGGACAAACCUCUGAUGUACCAGUUGUCACGCCAGUGGCACAGCUGGGUAGUCACGUUUGGAACGGAUAACCGCUGAAAGCAUCUAAGCGGGAAACCAGCUUCAAGAUAAGUAUUCUUUAAGACUCCUUCGAGACUAGGAGGUUGAUAGGUUGGGGGUGUAAGAGUUGUGAGACUUUUAGCUGACCAAUACUAAUAAGUCAAAGUUUUAACCUA
rnacentral:rRNA from 1 species